AAUGAACGCUGGCGGCGUGGUUAAGACAUGCAAGUCGAACGGUUUUUCAGGUGUAGCAAUAACAUUUGUAAAGAACAGUGGCGAACGGGUGCGUAACACGUGAACAAUCUACCUUCAAAUAGGGGAAGUAAGCUCGCCGAAAGGACGAAUUAAUACCGCAUACGGUUGGUUCUCUCCUGAGAAAUCAUACCAAAGUCCGGGACCGCAAGGCCUGACGUUUGAAGAGGAGUUCGCGGCCUAUCAGCUAGUUGGCGAGGUAACGGCUCACCAAGGCUAAG
rnacentral:rRNA from 1 species